GAUGAACGCUGGCGGCGUGCCUAAUACAUGCAAGUCGAGCGAACGGACGAGAAGCUUGCUUCUCUGAUGUUAGCGGCGGACGGGUGAGUAACACGUGGAUAACCUACCUAUAAGACUGGGAUAACUUCGGGAAACCGGAGCUAAUACCGGAUAAUAUUUUGAACCGCAUGGUUCAAAAGUGAAAGACGGUCUUGCUGUCACUUAUAGAUGGAUCCGCGCUGCAUUAGCUAGUUGGUAAGGUAACGGCUUACCAAGGCAACGAUGCAUAGCCGACCUGAGAGGGCGAUCGGCCACACUGGAACUGAGACACGGUCCAGACUCCUACGGGAGGCAGCAGUAGGGAAUCUUCCGCAAUGGGCGAAAGCCUGACGGAGCAACGCCGCGUGAGUGAUGAAGGUCUUCGGAUCGUAAAACUCUGUUAUUAGGGAAGAACAUAUGUGUAAGUAACUGUGCACAUCUUGACGGUACCUAAUCAGAAAGCCACGGCUAACUACGUGCCAGCAGCCGCGGUAAUACGUAGGUGGCAAGCGUUAUCCGGAAUUAUUGGGCGUAAAGCGCGCGUAGGCGGUUUUUUAAGUCUGAUGUGAAAGCCCACGGCUCAACCGUGGAGGGUCAUUGGAAACUGGAAAACUUGAGUGCAGAAGAGGAAAGUGGAAUUCCAUGUGUAGCGGUGAAAUGCGCAGAGAUAUGGAGGAACACCAGUGGCGAAGGCGACUUUCUGGUCUGUAACUGACGCUGAUGUGCGAAAGCGUGGGGACCAAACAGGAUUAGAUACCCUGGUAGUCCACGCCGUAAACGAUGAGUGCUAAGUGUUAGGGGGUUUCCGCCCCUUAGUGCUGCAGCUAACGCAUUAAGCACUCCGCCUGGGGAGUACGACCGCAAGGUUGAAACUCAAAGGAAUUGACGGGGACCCGCACAAGCGGUGGAGCAUGUGGUUUAAUUCGAAGCAACGCGAAGAACCUUACCAAAUCUUGACAUCCUUUGACAACUCUAGAGAUAGAGCCUUCCCCUUCGGGGGACAAAGUGACAGGUGGUGCAUGGUUGUCGUCAGCUCGUGUCGUGAGAUGUUGGGUUAAGUCCCGCAACGAGCGCAACCCUUAAGCUUAGUUGCCAUCAUUAAGUUGGGCACUCUAAGUUGACUGCCGGUGACAAACCGGAGGAAGGUGGGGAUGACGUCAAAUCAUCAUGCCCCUUAUGAUUUGGGCUACACACGUGCUACAAUGGACAAUACAAAGGGCAGCGAAACCGCGAGGUCAAGCAAAUCCCAUAAAGUUGUUCUCAGUUCGGAUUGUAGUCUGCAACUCGACCACAUGAAGCUGGAAUCGCUAGUAAUCGUAGAUCAGCAUGCUACGGUGAAUACGUUCCCGGGUCU
rnacentral:rRNA from 1 species